AUGAGUGUUUUAAGCUGGAACUGCCGGGGGCUUGGGAACCCCAAGGCAGUUCGGGAGCUUCGCAGUAUAGUGAAGCUUGAAGGCCCCUCCCUUCUCUUUGUAAUGGAAACUAAAAUCAAAGCAAAAAGAGUUGAGGAUCUGAAGUUUACGCUUGGAAUUGCAGGCAGUUUUCCAGUUGACAGUGUUGGCCUUAGUGGCGGCAUAUGUCUUUUU
rnacentral:rRNA from 1 species